rnacentral:rRNA from 1 species
UGGGGAAUAUUGCACAAUGGGCGCAAGCCUGAUGCAGCCAUGCCGCGUGUGUGAAGAAGGCCUUCGGGUUGUAAAGUACUUUCAGCGGGGAGGAAGGGAGUAAAGUUAAUACCUUUGCUCAUUGACGUUACCCGCAGAAGAAGCACCGGCUAACUCCGUGCCAGCAGCCGCGGUAAUACGGAGGGUGCAAGCGUUAAUCGGAAUUACUGGGCGUAAAGCGCACGCAGGCGGUUUGUUAAGUCAGAUGUGAAAUCCUCGGGCUCAACCUGGGAACUGCAUCUGAUACUGGCAAGCUUGAGUCUCGUAGAGGGGGGUAGAAUUCCAGGUGUAGCGGUGAAAUGCGUAGAGAUCUGGAGGAAUACCGGUGGCGAAGGCGGCCCCCUGGACGAAGACCGACGCUCAGGUGCGAAAGCGUGGGGAGCAAACAGG